GUCCCUGUAACGCAUUGGAUAGUGUGUUGGACUUCUAAUCAAAAGGUCGUGGCUUCGAAUCCCACCUGGGAUG
rnacentral:tRNA from 1 species